rnacentral:lncRNA from 1 species
GGAUAUUGGCUUGGAGAAAUGACGUCCCGCAGGUCAGUGCAUGGUGUGUGGCAGAGGCCAAAGCUCUGCUUUUCUGCUUCUGUGGGAACAGGGGGAGUUUGGCCAUGGGCUCCUCACUGUUGAAACGGAGGGUGGGCCCUUGAGCCGGGCUGGGGAAUCGCCUUGGCAGCAGGAUGGGCUUCGGUGUGGAUGCAUCUUCCAGUGCCCACCUCGGAGCUUGGGCUGAAGGCGGCAGCACAUGGGAAGAAGGGGCCUUUGGCCCAUCCGUGGCAUUGGGGAGUCUGGAGGGGAUGGGAAAGCAGAGAAGCAGCAGAUGCUCUGCAGCACGGGGAGGGCUUAAGAGCCUGACUUUGGGCAGUAGUCCUCUGCAAACUGCUGGGAAGCAGCAGGAAAUUCGGCCAGGGAAGCUCCUUUGGAAGCCCUGGCCGUGCUCCUUGUGCUUCCUCCCACUGAAUGCCUUUCUCUUCCAGAUGGCAUCAGCAGGACCUGUUGUGCAUGGGCUCCUGUCUCUGGGGAGCUCACCAGUUUGGCUGGAGGGGAAGAGGCAGGAGCUGAAUGUGAAAACCACACAGCUGUUGGCCAGGAAGGACCUCAUUCUCCAAUCAGUGUUUGAUGUCCUCCAAGAGAAUGGGAUCCAUGGACUGAAGAGAGAGGAAAUUCUGCAGUUGACACAGCACGCCAUUCAGAAAAUCAUGGAAAAUGGCGUCUGGAUGCCCAACUGGGCUCUGGAAACCAUGGGUGCCACUGUUGAUGCAGAGAGGACAUCCAAGAGUUAUGGUGGGAAAGGCUGGAAGAACCACUGGCUUUCUCCACUCUUUUCCACCGCAAAGCCUCCUGAGACACUCUUGCAGGUAUGGAAGGAGAAAUGGUGACUGUGGGUUCACUGCCUUGCCUUCUGGCUGCAGGAGCAAGUGUGCAGCAAUUUCCUUUGGCCCAGCUGUACUGCUCAGCCCACACUCUUCCCCACAUUACUGACAGCAGUGUUGGGAAGGUGAUGGGAUGACAAAUGCUGG